rnacentral:rRNA from 1 species
CCUACGGGCGGCAGCAGUGGGGGAUAUUGCACAAUGGGGGGAACCCUGAUGCAGCGACGCCGCGUGGGUGAAGGAGUGCUUCGGCAUGUAAAGCCCUAUCGGCAGGGAAGAAGCAAGACGGUACCUGACUAAGAAGCCCCGGCUAACUAGGUGCCAGCAGCCGCGGUAAUACGUAGGGGGCGAGCGUUAACCGGAGUCACUGGGUGUAAAGGGAGCGGAGACGGCCCUGCAAGCCAGGGGUGAAAGCCCGGGGCCCAACCCCGGGACUGCCCUUGGAACGGUGCGGGUAGAGUGCGGGGGGGGCAGGUGGAAUUCCUGGUGUAGCGGUGAAAUGCGUAGAUAUCAGGAGGAACGCCGGCGGCGAAGGCGGCCUGCUGGACUGCGACUGACGUUGAGGCUCGAAAGCGUGGGGAGCGUACAGGAUUAGAUACCCUAGUAGUC